GGACAGAUGGACAGGGCAGAACCCAGAGACAGUCCCCAGGACAGAUGGACAGGGCAGGUCCCGACACAGACUAACAGGGUUGAUCCCAGGGACAGCCCCCAGGACAGACGGGCACGGCUGAUCCCCAGGACAGAUGGACAGGGCAGAUCCCAGGGACAGACAGACAGAGCAGGUCCCAGGGAGAGCUGGACAGGGCUGAUCCCCAGGACAAAUGGACAGGGCAGAUGCCAGGACAGUUGGACAGGGCUGAUCCCAGGGACAGAUGGACAGGGCAGACCCCAGGCACAGCCCCCAGGACAGACGGACAGGACAGCCCCCAGGACAAAUGGACAGGGCUGAUCCCAGGGACAGACAGGGCUGAUCCCAGGCACAGCCCCCAGGACAAACGGACAGAGCUGAUCCCCAGGACAAACAGACAGGGCUGAUCCUCAGGACAGACAGGGCUGAUUCCCAGGACAGCCCCCAGGACAGACGGACAGAACAGAUCCCAGGACAAACGGACAGGGCAGACCCCAGCACACCCCCAGGGCAGAGCUCUCCCCCUGCAGCCCCAAAUCUCCUCGGAGGGAUCAGCGUUGCUGUGCUGGUCAGGUCCUGGAGCUGAGGCACGGACAGACAGACAGACAGACAGACAGACAGACUGUGGUUCACUGAAGGUUUUCCAGCUGAUCCCUGCUGGGGGGAUCCCCAGGAGUGCUGUCACCCCCGAGCACACAGGGUGGCUCCCUCCCUCUGAGCAAGGCAGUAUUUUGAACAAAGAGUGCUUUUCCAAAGAAAUAAUAGCAUUUACAGUCGUUAAACAAAUGCUACUUUUUAUCAGCUCUAAUUAUUUUAUAAUAGCACACAGUCCUUAGCUUGCUUAUCACUAUGUUGUUCUUUACUUUAAGCCCUCACAGCUACUCUAGAUAACAAUUUAAAUACACAGAGCUUUAAAAAAAUAUUUCCAUUUCAAAUGUUUUAAAAAUAUACUUAUCCUAAAAAGCUGUCCAGCACUAUUCCAAAAAUCUCUUGUAAUAAAUGUCUUUUUAAAUGUUAACA
rnacentral:lncRNA from 1 species